GCUGUUCUUGCCGUUAAGAGGCCAGUGUUGAUCAGUGGCUGUCCAGGCCUUUCACAGCCACUGACACGCCGGCAGCACAAUGAUGAUGUCACUGCUUCUGCUGCUGGCCACCCUGGGGCUCCUUGUUCAGGAUUCAUCAGGAGAAAUCACCCUGACUCAGUCUCCUGGAGCUCAGUCUGUUGCUCCAGGACAGACUGUUUCUAUCAGAUGUAAAGCCAGUACACUUAUAGGUGAUGACAUUAACUGGUACCUUCAGAAACACGGAGAAGCUCCUAAACUCCUGAUUUAUGAUACUACAAUUCGUCAGUCAGGAGUUUCAGAUCGUUUUCAUGCAACGGCACAUCAGACCGACUUCACUUUGACCAUCAGUGGCGUUCAGAGUGAAGAUGCAGGAGUUUACUACUGUCAGCAGCAUAACAGCUUCCCGCUCACACAGUGAUACAACGUCGCACAAAAACCUCCUUCAGCUAAAGAGGAACUGAUCUGAAUUCACAGCUGCAAAAACUGAAAGACAAUAUAUGACUAUAACACACAUUAUGACAUCAUCUAAAUCUAACAUUUUACCUUGACAAUAACAACUAUUAAGAAAAGUCUUCAACAGUUAUUAAGGAAACAUUUAAAUAUUUCACCUCCUCUGAGUUUGAUGUCAACUGAUUCAUCAGGUACGCUAAUAUACAAGAUAAUACAUCACAACUUUUCUUCUUCAGAAUUGUUUCUUCACGUUUUUUUGUAAGAUUAUUCUAUAGAUCCAAGAAAAUAUACAGUGUGGAACUGCAUCAUUAAAUACACAGUAUAUCAAAGAUAUAUAUUCAAUUAAAGAGUUGGGUUGUUAGGUUGGAUCCCAAUAUUUUCUUCAUUACUGCUGCAUGUCUCUGUAAGUUGAAUUACUUUUUUGAU